AUUGAACGCUGGCGGCAGGCCUAACACAUGCAAGUCGAACGGUAGCACAGAGAGCUUGCUCUCGGGUGACGAGUGGCGGACGGGUGAGUAGUGUCUGGGAAACUGCUCGAUGGAGGGGGAUAACUACUGGAAACGGUAGCUAAUACCGCAUAACGUCGCAAGACCAAAGUGGGGGACCUUCGGGCCUCACACCAUCGGAUGUGCCCAGAUGGGAUUAGCUAGUAGGUGGGGUAAUGGCUCACCUAGGCGACGAUCCCUAGCUGGUCUGAGAGGAUGACCAGCCACACUGGAACUGAGACACGGUCCAGACUCCUACGGGAGGCAGCAGUGGGGAAUAUUGCACAAUGGGCGCAAGCCUGAUGCAGCCAUGCCGCGUGUAUGAAGAAGGCCUUCGGGUUGUAAAGUACUUUCAGCGGGGAGGAAGGCGGUGGAGCUAAUAACUUCACCGAUUGACGUUACCCGCAGAAGAAGCACCGACUAACUCCGUGCCAGCAGCCGCCGUAA
rnacentral:rRNA from 1 species